UUGUGCAACUAGUUGCAAAAAGAUGAUUUUUUCAGCACGAGUUGUACGUUUAUCCAACGAGGCUUGCCGAGUUGGAUAAAUACUACGAGUGCUGAAAAAAUCGAGUUUUGCAACGAGUUGCACACGCUAUUUUUUGCAAUGACGAAAAAUGGGCUUUAAUAUGAUAAAUCUUUACCAAAAUUGUACAAUCGAAUUCACUCCACAUGAUCAUUCAUGCUAAUAAAUUAUUUUGCGGCAGAGAACAAUAAGAUUCCAUCUUAUCGUGCCAAAUUGCAUAGCUUGAAAAGCUAUGAAGCGAUGGAUGCAAUUGCCUUUGGAAAAUUGUGAUGUUAUGUCCAACAAACCAUUUCAUUUAUUACGAGACGCUUAGAGUACACUAUUUAAACACUCACCCAAACUAAUUCAGCUAAAUGUAGUCAUGUAACUACUGUCCCAAUGUAGGUUUUUCAUUAUAGCACCCGAAUGAGUGCUAUAAUGAAUAUUAUGCAACCCAUUUGAGUUGCAUAAUGGUCAUUAAAGCACCCAUUCUGUUGGUAUAGAAAAGUAGGCCGUUUUAUCACUCAAAUGACAACUGUAAACCAGGUUUUAUGAUCAGGAAUUGCAAAAAAAAAGUUUUUAUAUUUAAUUUUUUUUUACUCCGUGGAAAACUAAUUCCAUUUAAGCGUGUAAUGUUUUGUUUGUGAUUGGGGAAAAAUAAAAAAAAUCGAACGGUCAAAGUGCAAGACGCUUCUUUGCUUUCCGCUUUUUUGAUUCUGCUAGUGGUUGAAUAGUGAAUCAUUGUCUACUGUGCCUUGUCAUGAUGAACUAUGAAGCUCACUGGAAACCGUAGUUUGCCAUCAAUCGUCAACGUUUUCCAUACAAAACAGCUGCUGCUAUUCAUUUGUCAUAUCCACCGAAUAUAAGAGCUGAUACAGGAUCAGUCCCAAAGAGGAUGCCGGAAGAUAGCGGCCGCAUCAAGCACCGCAAUUAUUACAAUUAGACUACGAACACCAGUACUCUUUACCAGCAGCAACACUUACGGCAUGCUCAGCGAGUAGCUUUGAAGAGUGCUCAGUAUCAGGAUAAAAUAAACUCUAAAAUUUAGUUAAAACUAAAUUUCAAAGCAAAGAAAUAAAAUGAAUUGUAAAACCUUUAAUUGUAUUGUAUUUCUAUUGUACUAUUGGUGUGAGAUGUAUUCCAAAUCGUAUUGUAUUUAUACUGUAAAACUAUAAAAAAAGUAAGAGAAAA